rnacentral:rRNA from 1 species
AACGAACGCUGGCGGCAUGCCUAACACAUGCAAGUCGAACGAGAUCUUCGGGUCUAGUGGCGCACGGGUGCGUAACGCGUGGGAAUCUGCCCUUUGGUUCGGAAUAACAGUUGGAAACGACUGCUAAUACCGGAUGAUGACGAAAGUCCAAAGAUUUAUCGCCAGAGGAUGAGCCCGCGUAGGAUUAGCUAGUUGGUGUGGUAAAGGCGCACCAAGGCGACGAUCCUUAGCUGGUCUGAGAGGAUGAUCAGCCACACUGGGACUGAGACACGGCCCAGUCUCCUACGGGGGGCAGCAGUGGGGAAUAUUGGACAAUGGGCGCAAGCCUGAUCCAGCCAUGCCGCGUGGGUGAUGAAGGCCCUAGGGUUGUAAAGCCCUUUCGGCGGGGAAGAUAAUGACGGUACCCGCAGAAGAAGCCCCGGCUAACUUCGUGCCAGCCGCCGCGGUAA